UGGUGAUCGCAACCCAACCGCGGCUUGAUGAGAGUCGUGUUGUGAGCAUGCUGCAGUGAGGUCAAUCUGCCAUUGGAGGGGGGUGAGAGGCAAGGCAAUUAUCUUUUUACCAUAUGUGUGUGCACAUGCGCGCGCGUGAAACAUUAGUUCCAAAUACAAUCGCCAGUUUUUUCUUUUCUCAUCACGUCUCGGAAAUGACUAGGAUCGAUGCCAUUGGUGUGAGUGCGCAGUAAGUAUGUAUGUUAUGUUGGCUGAUAACCCAAUUUCCAUGACUGAAAAUAUACAGCAGAAUCUCUCCAUCAACUCAUCCUGUGCGAUAACAUAACCGAAGAUGAGAAUCCCUGUCGUGGUUCAGGCUUUGCUGUUUUCGACAGCGUACGGCCCUGUGGAACUGGGGCCUGACGUGACAAGGAGAGAGCAACAAUCCAGGAAGUCUCCCUGCGGCUUCACAACCACCAAGUCCAGUCCCUCGCUUUACAACCGCCAACCCUGCCCCUGUUCAUCAUCAUUUAUAUAUAUUUAUAUAUCUUUCUAAUUCUUCAAACCUGUGCACAGCAUGUACUGUGCCUGUACACCAUAUAUUUCACAAGACAACCUGAGGUCAAAGGUUAAAAGCGAUGACUUCCUGUAUCUUGUUCAAAGGUUAGAAUGACUUGCAAACGUUUCCACAAACUGCCAAUUACCACUCUGCAACACCUUCCACACAAUAAAAAAAGUGAUUUAUAAUGUCAGAUCAAUCACCAAAAGGAAAUGUAAUUGACCCCAGCCCUGUUGAUGUGAUUCUACAGGUUGCACUGUGUGACGAAUAGAAAGCUUUACUGUUUUAUAGAGUAUCUUUGGAGGCUCCUGAUCUUUUUGUUCCUCACUAACCAGCUGGGCUCGGCUUGGGGCCGUGCUCUUUAGCGAACUGAGCUGCGGUUUGAAUGAGGGGGAGGGAGGGGGAUGGAGUGGGAGUAUCAUUCCCCCGAGCAGGAACACGUGUGUGUGUGUGUGUGUGCCCCAUCUGCUUCAUGUGUAUCACAUAAUAUGAACUUUGAAAAUGAACAAAUCCUCUUUUGUAUGUGGGUGCACUCUGCAACACAUUGUUCUACUGUAUGAGGUGUGUGUGUGUGUUUGACUCCGAGUUUAACAGAAGUGUUUACAUCAUGACAGGGAGGUCCACAUUCUACAGGUUCUGACCGGGGAGGUAGUAGAACUUUCGAAUGUGAGCCUCACACUAUUGUUUUGGAGUAGGAAUAUGGAAAUUUAUCUACAGCAGUAACACAAUCCUGCCCCAAGGGUUGCACAGACUACAGACCAUUCAGACUCCAGUGGAAUGGUGUGGGAGUAAAUGUUAGAUGUGCCAUCGCAGCCCCGAUCUGAAAGCAUGCCUGUGUCUGGAGCCCACUGUUGUACACACAUUUAUUAAUCACGCCAGAGCCAUCUCAAAGAGCCAUUGUUAUUAGCCAUCAUGUGCCCCAGGAUGCUAACGGGACAUGGCACCCUCUCAUAAGUCAGUCAGUGUUAUAAAUGGCUUUUCCGUACGACUUUGAAUGCCUGCCCUGCCCAAUCCCUUGAAUGCCAGACUUGCAGUAUCUCUGGGUUGUGAGGAAAAAAAACACAAAAAAACAAAUUGAAACUGUGAAAAUACCCACGUGUCAAACAUAUAUUGCUUCGGGGAGUCUUUCCCUCUCAAAAUGCUUGUUUUAGCAACUGAAGAUGUAGUAAAACAUAAAAAAAGAAACUUCUCGUGAACAAGGCUAUGAGGGGGAGGGGGGGUGAGUAGAAGGAUCUAAGAUCGCACUUUAUGGAUGGGUCUUCAGCUGUGACCUCAGACGAAGUUGUGGUGUGGCACCCUGCUCCAAGCUGAGGACACCGUGUGAAUAUUGUGUCCUCAAACUGUGCUUCAGAAUGUCUGUGGGUUUGUUGUUCUCCCACUGUCCAAACAUGCUGUCCUUCCCACAGUAAUAUGAGAUGUAGCUAACUGUAAAUAUCAUCAGUGCGCCUGUUGUCUUCAGUAGCAACAACUGGCUGCAAAGUUUUACCUGCAAUGUUUUGCAUGACCAUGUCAGUUGAAACUGUAAUAAUAAACUCAAAAUGACAAAUGUG